rnacentral:rRNA from 1 species
ACUGAACGCUGGCGGCAGGCCUAACACAUGCAAGUCGAGCGGAUGAGUGGAGCUUGCUCCAUGAUUCAGCGGCGGACGGGUGAGUAAUGCCUAGGAAUCUGCCUGGUAGUGGGGGACAACGUUUCGAAAGGAACGCUAAUACCGCAUACGUCCUACGGGAGAAAGUGGGGGAUCGUCGGACCUCCCGCUAACAGAUGAGCCUAGGUCGGAUUAGCUAGUUGGUGAGGUAAAGGCUCACCAAGGCGACGAUCCGUAACUGGUCUGAGAGGAUGAUCAGUCACACUGGAACUGAGACACGGUCCAGACUCCUACGGGAGGCAGCAGUGGGGAACAUUGGACAAUGGGCGAAAGCCUGAUCCAGCCAUGCCGCGUGUGUGAAGAAGGUCUUCGGAUUGUAAAGCACUUUAAGUUGGGAGGAAGGGCAGUAAGUUAAUACCUUGCUGUUUUGACGUUACCAACAGAAUAAGCACCGGCUAACUUCGUGCCAGCCGCCGCCGUAACAC